rnacentral:rRNA from 1 species
CAAUAGCGUAUAUUAAAGUUGUUGCAGUUAAAAAGCUCGUAGUUGGAUUUCGGGGUGGCCUGCCUGGUCCACCGCAAGGUGAGUACUGGUCAGCCGCCCUUCCUCUCGAAAGCCCCGACUGCUCUUUGUUGUAGUGGUCGGGUAGUUCGGGACGUUUACUUUGAAAAAAUUAGAGUGUUCAAGGCAGGCUAUCGCCUGAAUACAUUAGCAUGGAAUAAUGGAAGAGGACUUCGGUUCUAUUUUGUUGGUUUCUAGGGCCGAAGUAAUGAUUAAGAGGGACAGUUGGGGGCAUUCGUAUUUAAUUGUCAGAGGUGAAAUUCUUGGAUUUAUGAAAGACGAACUAGUGCGAAAGCAUUUGCCAAGGAUGUUUUCAUUA